CCCAGUUCCCUAGCCCAGAAAAGCGGAUUGGAGCCCGGGAAGCUCAUUGCGAUUCCAAAGAUGCGGAAACUGAAGCUCAGAGAGCCCAAGUCAUUUGCCCAAGGUCCCAGUGACCUGCCGAGUGGGAAGAGCCGUGGCUGGCCGGCCUCCCAGUGGCGACGACGACCUCGCUGUGUUCGUGGCAGCGGCACUCUCAAAUCUGGGCACGGUGAUGGGAAGGUUAUUUGUUGGAAUCCCUUUGCCUUUCCAAGGGAAAAUAAACACAAAAAGUGAGAA
rnacentral:lncRNA from 1 species